GCGGCGUGCCUAAUACAUGCAAGUCGAACGCACUGACGUCGACAGAAGGUGCUUGCACUGGAAGUUGAUUGACGUGAGUGGCGGACGGGUGAGUAACACGUGGGUAACCUGCCCUUAAGCGGGGGAUAACAUUUGGAAACAGAUGCUAAUACCGCAUAAAAGUUGAGAUCACAUGGUCUUAAUUUGAAAGACGGCCUUUGGCUGUCACUUAAGGAUGGACCCGCGGCGUAUUAGCUAGUUGGUGAGAUAAUAGCCCACCAAGGCGAUGAUACGUAGCCGACCUGAGAGGGUAAUCGGCCACAUUGGGACUGAGACACGGCCCAAACUCCUACGGGAGGCAGCAGUAGGGAAUCUUCCACAAUGGACGAAAGUCUGAUGGAGCAACGCCGCGUGAGUGAAGAAGGUUUUCGGAUCGUAAAACUCUGUUGUUGGAGAAGAACAGGGACUAGAGUAACUGUUAGUCCUUUGACGGUAUCCAACCAGAAAGCCACGGCUAACUACGUGCCAGCAGCCGCGGUAAUACGUAGGUGGCAAGCGUUGUCCGGAUUUAUUGGGCGUAAAGCGAGCGCAGGCGGUUUCUUAAGUCUGAUGUGAAAGCCUUCGGCUUAACCGAAGAAGUGCAUCAGAUACUGGGAAACUUGAGUGCAGAAGAGGGAAGUGGAACUCCAUGUGUAGCGGUGAAAUGCGUAGAUAUAUGGAAGAACACCAGUGGCGAAGGCGGCUUUCUGGUCUGUAACUGACGCUGAGGCUCGAAAGUAUGGGGAGCGAACAGGAUUAGAUACCCUGGUAGUCCAUACCGUAAACGAUGAAUGCUAAGUGUUGGAGGGUUUCCGCCCUUCAGUGCUGCAGCUAACGCAUUAAGCAUUCCGCCUGGGGAGUACGACCGCAAGGUUGAAACUCAAAGGAAUUGACGGGGGCCCGCACAAGCGGUGGAGCAUGUGGUUUAAUUCGAAGCUACGCGAAGAACCUUACCAGGUCUUGACAUCUAGCGCCAAUCCUAGAGAUAGGACGUUCCCUUCGGGGACGCUAAGACAGGUGGUGCAUGGUUGUCGUCAGCUCGUGUCGUGAGAUGUUGGGUUAAGUCCCGCAACGAGCGCAACCCUUAUGAUUAGUUGCCAGCAUUUAGUUGGGCACUCUAAUCAGACUGCCGGUGACAAACCGGAGGAAGGUGGGG
rnacentral:rRNA from 1 species